rnacentral:rRNA from 1 species
AUUGAACGCUGGCGGCAGGCCUAACACACGCAAGUCGAGCGGAUGAGUGGAGCUUGCUCCAUGAUUCAGCGGCGGACGGGUGAGUAAUGCCUAGGAAUCUGCCUGGUAGUGGGGGACAACGUUUCGAAAGGAACGCUAAUACCGCAUACGUCCUACGGGAGAAAGUGGGGGAUCUUCGGACCUCACGCUAUCAGAUGAGCCUAGGUCGGAUUAGCUAGUUGGUGAGGUAAAGGCUCACCAAGGCGACGAUCCGUAACUGGUCUGAGAGGAUGAUCAGUCACACUGGAACUGAGACACGGUCCAGACUCCUACGGGAGGCAGCAGUGGGGAAUAUUGGACAAUGGGCGAAAGCCUGAUCCAGCCAUGCCGCGUGUGUGAAGAAGGUCUUCGGAUUGUAAAGCACUUUAAGUUGGGAGGAAGGGUUGUAGAUUAAUACUCUGCAAUUUUGACGUUACCGACAGAAUAAGCACCGGCUAACUCUGUGCCAGCAGCCGCCGCCGUAA